GAUGAAGAACGUAGCGAAAUGCGAUACGUAAUGUGAAUUGCAGAAUUCCGUGAAUCAUCGAAUCUUUGAACGCACAUUGCACCCGGUGGUAUUCCGCCGGGUAUGCCUGUCUGAGCGUCAUUUCUGCCCUCCAGCCCGGCUGGGUGUUGGGCGCUGUCCCCCCGGGGACACGCCCCAAAGGCAGUGGCGGCGCCGCGUCGGGUCCUCGAGCGUAUGGGGCUUUGUCACCCGCUCGGGACGGACUCGUCGGCGCUGGUCUUCCUCCAGGCGACCCUUCGGGGCUCGUCUUCCUUCGGUUGACCUCGGAUCAGGUAGGGUUACCCGCUGAACUUAAGCAUAUCAAUAAGCGGAGGA
rnacentral:misc_RNA from 1 species